AGGACGAACGCUGGCGGCGUGCUUAACACAUGCAAGUCGAGCGGUGAUCCUCCUUCGGGAGGUGAGCAGCGGCGAACGGGUGAGUAACACGUGGGCAACCUGCCCCUCACACUGGGAUAACCUCGGGAAACCGGGGCUAAUACCGGAUAUGACCUCGAGCGGCAUCUCUUGAGGUGGAAAGCUCCGACGGUGAGGGAUGGGCCCGCGGCCUAUCAGCUUGUUGGUGGGGUAAUGGCCUACCAAGGCGACGACGGGUAGCCGGCCUGAGAGGGCGACCGGCCACACUGGGACUGAGACACGGCCCAGACUCCUACGGGAGGCAGCAGUGGGGAAUAUUGCGCAAUGGGCGAAAGCCUGACGCAGCGACGCCGCGUGAGGGAUGAAGGCCUUCGGGUUGUAAACCGUCUUUCAGCAGGGACGAAGCGAAAGUGACGGUACCUGCAGAAGAAGCACCGGCUAACUACGUGCCAGCAGCCGC
rnacentral:rRNA from 1 species